AGUGAACGCUGGCGGUAGGCCUAACACAUGCAAGUCGAACGGCAGCACAGUAAGAGCUUGCUCUUACGGGUGGCGAGUGGCGGACGGGUGAGGAAUACAUCGGAAUCUACUUUUUCGUGGGGGAUAACGUAGGGAAACUUACGCUAAUACCGCAUACGACCUACGGGUGAAAGCAGGGGAUCUUCGGACCUUGCGCGAUUGAAUGAGCCGAUGUCGGAUUAGCUAGUUGGCGGGGUAAAGGCCCACCAAGGCGACGAUCCGUAGCUGGUCUGAGAGGAUGAUCAGCCACACUGGAACUGAGACACGGUCCAGACUCCUACGGGAGGCAGCAGUGGGGUAUAUUGGACAAUGGGCGCAAGCCUGAUCCAGCCAUACCGCGUGGGUGAAGAAGGCCUUCGGGUUGUAAAGCCCUUUUGCUGGGAAAGAAAAGCAGCAGGUUAAUACCCCGCUGUUCUGACGGUACCCAAAGAAUAAGCACCGGCUAACUUCGUG
rnacentral:rRNA from 1 species